rnacentral:rRNA from 1 species
GAUGAACGCUGGCGGCGUGCCUAAUACAUUCAAGUCGAGCGAACAGACGAGGAGCUUGCUCCUCUGACGUUAGCGGCGGACGGGUGAGUAACACGUGGAUAACCUACCUAUAAGACUGGGAUAACUUCGGGAAACCGGAGCUAAUACCGGAUAAUAUAUUGAACCGCAUGGUUCAAUAGUGAAAGACGGUUUUGCUGUCACUUAUAGAUGGAUCCGCGCCGCAUUAGCUAGUUGGUAAGGUAACGGCUUACCAAGGCGACGAUGCGUAGCCGACCUGAGAGGGUGAUCGGCCACACUGGAACUGAGACACGGUCCAGACUCCUACGGGAGGCAGCAGUAGGGAAUCUUCCGCAAUGGGCGAAAGCCUGACGGAGCAACGCCGCGUGAGUGAUGAAGGUCUUCGGAUCGUAAAACUCUGUUAUUAGGGAAGAACAAAUGUGUAAGUAACUAUGCACGUCUUGACGGUACCUAAUCAGAAAGCCACGGCUAACUACGUG